UAGUCCACGCCGUAAACGAUGUGUGCUAGAUGUCGGGUCCAUAGGAUUCGGUGUCGCAGCUAACGCACUAAGCACACCGCCUGGGGAGUACGGUCGCAAGAUUAAAACUCAAAGGAAUUGACGGGGACCCGCACAAGCGGUGGAGCAUGUUCUUUAAUUCGACGCAACGCGAAGAACCUUACCUACACUUGACAUACUCGUCGGGGAUUUCAGAGAUGAUUUCCUUCGGUUCGGCCGGACGAUGUACAGGUGCUGCACGGCUGUCGUCAGCUCGUGUCGUGAGAUGUUUGGUUAAGUCCAGCAACGAGCGCAACCCCUAUCUUUAGUUGCCAACAGGUAAUGCUGGGGACUCUAGAGAGACUGCCUCCGCAAGGAGUGAGGAAGGAAGGGACGACGUCAAAUCAUCAUGGCCUUUAUGCCUAGGGCUACACACGUGCUACAAUGGCGUAUACAGAGGGGAGCAAGACAGCAAUGUGGAGCGAAUCUCAG
rnacentral:rRNA from 1 species